rnacentral:miRNA from 1 species
CUGUUAAGCCAUCUCUCCAGCCAUUAACUUAUUUUUUAAAAUAUUUUUAUUGGGCUGGAGAGAUGGCUCAGCAGU